rnacentral:rRNA from 1 species
UACAGAGGUGGCAAGCGUUGUUCGGAAUUACUGGGCGUAAAGGGCGCGUAGGCGGCUCGACACGUCCCGCGUGAAAGCCCCCGGCUCAACUGGGGAACUGCGCGGGAAACUGUCGGACUUGAGUUCGGGAGAGGGAAGCGGAAUUCCGGGUGUAGCGGUGAAAUGCGUAGAUAUCCGGAGGAACACCGGUGGCGAAGGCGGCUUCGUGGACCGACACUGACGCUGAGGCGCGAAAGCUAGGGGAGCAAACGGG